GUGACACUUACGAGAAGCCUUUGCGGCCCCGCAAGGGGUACCGGCCGCGACUAUAAAUGAAAGGCAAGCCGGCAUUAAAUCGCAAGUCAGCUCAGCUGGCUACACUUUCGAAUUGCGGGAAACCCCUAAAGCUGACCUCUACCAACCGUUCAGGGAAACCUGGAUGGGGCCUGUGCUAACAUCACAGGGUACGGUAACAAUGAGGAGGAUAUAUGGGCAAUCCGCAGCCAAGUCCCUAAGGCUCUCGAGCUACGGGAAAGGUUCACAGACUAAGUGGAAGUGGGUUGGGGCGGGUUGUAAUCCGCCCUGGCUUAAGAUAUAGUCGGGCUGUCCGCGAGAGCAGACAGGAUGUCACAAAUUAACCGUUCCGUAGGUGAACCUGCGGAAGGAUCAUUA
rnacentral:rRNA from 1 species